CUGGCGACCGGCGCACGGGUGAGUAACACGUAUCCAACCUGCCGAUAACUCGGGGAUAGCCUUUCGAAAGAAAGAUUAAUACCCGAUGGCAUAAUUAGACCGCAUGGUUUGAUUAUUAAAGAAUUUCGGUUAUCGAUGAGGAUGCGUUCCAUUAGGCAGUUGGUGAGGUAACGGCUCACCAAACCUUCGAUGGAUAGGGGUUCUGAGAGGAAGGUCCCCCACAUUGGAACUGAGACACGGUCCAA
rnacentral:rRNA from 1 species